rnacentral:rRNA from 1 species
CCUACGGGUGGCAGCAGUAGGGAAUCUUCCACAAUGAGCGAAAGCCUGAUGGAGCGACGCCGCGUGGGUGAAGAAGGUCUUCGGAUCGUAAAACCCUGUUGUUAGAGAAGAAAGUGCGUGAGAGUAACUGUUAACGUUUCGACGGUAUCUAAUCAGAAAGCGACGGCUAACUACGUGCCAGCAGCCGCGGUAAUCCGUAGGUGGCAAGCGUUAUCCGGAUUUAUUGGGCGUAAAGGGAACGCAGGUGGUCUUUUAAGUCUUAUUUGAAAGCCCUCGGAUUAACCGGGGUAGCGCAUUGGAAACUAGCAGACUUGAGUGCAGAAGAGGAGAGUGGAACUCCAUGUGUAGCGGUGAAAUGCGUAGAUAUAUGGAAGAACACCAGUGGCGAAAGCGGCUCUCUGGGCUGUAACUGACGCUGAGGUUCGAAAGCGUGGGUAGCAAACAGGAUUAGAUACCCUAGUAGUC